UGAUGAUGAUCAUACGAGUAUCCGUCGUCGAGUCGAAUGAAUACCAACAAUAAAUGACAGUAGCACAAGUGCAAAAGCAAAGGAAUGUCGGGAGUCAACGAAAGAAGCAGUUUGUUGGAAUGUAUGUGUCAAACUAUGCGAAGCAGCAACUAUGUGGAGAGAAAAGAGAGUGUGAGGAACAGCGUUUGAAUUCUACGCGAGCUCUCGUGAAUGCAUGUAAACAUGGAUGAUUACAACAAACUAAAUUAAAAUGUCUGGACCGUAAUUAAUCAAUCAGCUUCGAAAACAUCCCGGCAAACAUAGAUCACAUUUUAUAUCAUGAUGUUUAUUCAAACCAAGUAUGAGAAGUUAUAUCAUAAUUUACCUACGAUUUUCAUUGUAAAUACAUCGAUUUUCCAACAACUAUCACUGUCCAGAACAAUAAAAAAAAACAUUUUGCCUUUCUCCUAGGAAGGUAUAGCAAUCACUUGCAAAAC